UGGGCAAGAUCCGGGCUGGGAGGUCUACAGAGCCUGGCCAGGCACACGGCGGAGGGGAUUGGACAAGUCCCGGCUUCCUGGCUCAAGUCCGGACAGGUCCUGGGUCUCUGGGCCCUCGCAUUUUCCUCUUGGAAAUGAUUUUUAGGACCUCGUUCAGCCCUGAGCUGGUCACGAACUAAUCACGUGUUACAAGCUCCAACUGAAAAUUACCAGGAAGAAAUUACAGAGGACUUGUCAAAGUCCAUGUCCUGGGGUGAAGUUUGUCAUCGUCGUGCUGCCAUGGAGACAGACCUGUUGCAUCACGUGGAGCACUGUUUCAGACCCUGCCCGAGAAACGCAAGGGGCGUGGCUGGCUGUUCAUUUUCUGUCUUUCUUCUAAUCUAUCUGUUUUGGGUAAACACUCGUCUGGUCUGCGAGCUGAGAGGGGGCGCCCUCAAGUUUCACCUGUGCGGCUCCCAGGGAGCUCCUCCCGCCCUCCCUCCGGCAGGCCGCGGGCGAGGGCAGGCGCAGGGCCCGACGGCCGACGCAGCGCCGCGCCCACUCACCUCGGCGAUCCGGGCCCGCUGCUCGCGCGCCGCGGCGUCGGCCGGCUCGCGGUUGUCCACGCCCACGGGCGGCGCGAAGUGCAGCACCGGCAGCCCGCGCUCCGGCUCCGACUCGCGCCGCUGGUCGCGGGCCACCUCCGCCUUGUCGCGCAGGAUGUCCCUCCGGAUCUCCUCGGGCGGCUUCUGCAGCGUGUCCUUGGCCUCGCGCAGCGCGCGCUCGUGGUUCUCGCGGAUGCGGGCCAGGGGGUCCUGGGCGCGCGGGCCGGGGCCGGGGCCGGGCCCGGGCCGGGGGGCGGCGGGCGGCGCGGCGUGGAACAGCACCCCGCUGAGCAGCUUGGAGGGGUCGGGCAGGAAGAAGAUCGCGCCGAAGCACAGCGUGGCGAAGGCGCUGAACACCAGCAGCAGCGCGAACUUCUCGCUCAGGCGGAAGGCGGCGGCGCCCGCGCCCUUCCUGCCGCCCGCGCCCGCGCCCGGCGCCCUGGCCCGCGCUCCGCUGGGCCCCCGAGCAGCGGCAGCAGCGGCCCCGCGGGCAUCGUAGCCGUCAGCGCAUGCGGGGCUCCACGGCAGGCGGGGCAGGCGGCCGGGCGCGCAGCCUGCGGGACGGACGGGCGCGGCGGUCGGGCGGGGACCCCGCACCCCCGACGGCCGCGCCGCGCCCGGCCGGGAAGUUCCGCCGGGCUCUGCGGCCCCGGGCUGCCGCGAGCGCCGGGCGCGCCUGCGAGCGAGGCAGCCUGGGCGGUCAGCCCCGAGCCCCGGCGCCCCGCCCGAGGCCCAUGUCAGUGGCUCCCGCUCCUCCGCGGCUCCCCCGCUGCUCCGCAGGCGCCGAGCUGCACCGCUGCUGGAGCGCCGAGCUCUACCGCGGCCGGCUCGGGGCGGGGCGGGGCGCCGGAGUGACAGCGCGGCCGGCCAAUGCGCGCAGCGCGGGGUCCCGCGGGGGCGGGGCUGGGGCGGAGGGGCGGGGCGGGCAGGCGCUUACGGGAAGCGGGGCGGGGGAGGGGCCGGGCGCGGAGGGCGGGGCCCAGGGACGUCACCUGGACUGGGCUCCGCGGGGUCCCGGGUGCUGGGUCCUGGGUGGCGCAGAAGCGCUCCGGGAGGCUCAGGACCCCGGGUCCCUGGACCCCUGGACCCCUGGCUUUCUAGACCCCUGGACCCCUGGUUCCCCGGCCUCCUGUACCCCUGCAUCCCUCGGUCCCUGGACCCCUGGACCCCCGGAUUUCCUAGACCCCCGGACCCCUGGAUUUCCUAGACUCCUAGACCCCUAGCCUCCUGGACCCCUGGACUCCUGGGCCCCUGGAACCCUGUACCCUGGACCCCUGCAUCCCCUGAGCCCCCCGGACGCCCUUGGCCCCUGAAGACAGCGGACCCCUGCCGCCCCUGGAUUCCCCACACUCCUCGGUCCCUGAACCCCGAGCUCCCUGGCCCCGCGGGGCCCUGUCCCCCUCCGCGCCCGCUCCCCUCCUGCCCGAAAAGUUGUGCGUCCCCGCCGGCCGCCGACUUUCGGGCGCCCUUACCUCGUGGCAGUUGCUUAGAUUUUCCAUCGCGAGCGGCUUCAGCUGCCUGCGCCCCGGCCGCGCGCCGAGCCCGAGGAGGAGGCGAAGUCUGGGCCGCUCCUCCGCGGUGACGGCCGGGUCGGGGCGCUCGCCUAGCUCGCAGCCUCGCUCCCGUGGCGCCCGGCGCUCAGGGUGCCAUGGAGACGGCGCCGCCCCCGGCCCUCGGGGUGGGCUGGGCGGGGCACCUGUGGCCGGCCGCGCGCGUGUGCGCGCCUGCGUGUGCGCGCGCGCGUGGUGUUGGGGGACAACAUGGUUUCCCCAAAAGUGUCCCCGCUCCCCAGUUCCUCCCGCGGCGGCAUCAGCGCGGCCGUCUCACCCCAGGGAGACGACCCUGCCUCGGCCUCGAAGUCCGCUCGCAGGACCGCGCCCCUUGGGAAAGCGGGAGGCCCCAGCGCCCACGCGAAAGGAGCCGUCCUGCCCUCACGUCCUCUCUGGUGGAAACGGCGGCUCGCGAGGCCGACUUCGGGACCUGUGUUUGGGUCCCUGCAAGAAAUCCUGCGUCCAGGAGAGUGCAGUGCAUCCAAGCAGGGCAGCGAACUAGGACUGGCUCAGAAGAAAGCGAACUUCUAAGUGAUGGCAAGGUAAUCUUCGCCUGGAGUGCGUUUGCGGGCGGGGAUCGGGCCAAACGUUAGACUCUCGGGAAAUAACGCUGGUUUCCAGUCAGUUCGCGCGAACUCGGGCGCGUGGACGGCGCUCGGGCCUGGAGGACCCCGGGCCUCGGUGGUUACCCGAGAACCCAGCGCCCUGCAGUCGUCGUUUCAAAAGUUGUCCUGGCAAUGGGAUUACUUCUUGUAGCCACCGAAACAUGUAGAGACUUCAAUUGGCAAUUACGUCGGGCGUGGUGAGGGAAGUGCUGUGGGAUUCUAAAGAGGAAGAGCAUGUGUAAUACCUAGGGUUUGCAUUCCCUGAGAAGAGCGGCCUCGGACAGACGGAACACACCUGAGCUCCUUUUCACCCCUUACCCUGGAUCUGGUCCCCUUCCCCUCUGAGGAAGAUCUAUCUCCCUAUUUCCUAUUAUCUAUCUUUCAUUUUGAUUCUUAUUUAAACUUUUCUCUCCAUUCUGUCUCAUAAAAGAUCAUAUGGUUUUCUGGAAAAACAAAACGAACUCAGAAAGUGAAAAAAAUUUGUAAUACAUUAUUCUGGCCUCUUGGAAUUUUUUUCAUGAAAUAAAGUGAAAUGAAACCACAUGUGUUUGUUCGUAUUUUGGAGAAACCGUCUACAACUGGAACAUGACAGUGCUUGGCUUCCCACUUCCAUUGCAAAACAAAUUCACUGCCUCCACUCAGUGUCCGGAGUUCCUCAUCAUCCUCGGGGCGGAAUGUGGCCCCAGCCCCAGGUUUCCGUAAAUGCACGAGGAUUCACCCAUGGCUCUUUGUCCACUGAACUUAGUUUUCGGUGAGAGAAACACAGUGCCUGGAAUGCACGGAUCCAUCUAGAGGCAAGGGCGAGAGGGGAGCUGUGUUCCAACAGCACUUGGACGGAUUAAACCGAUGGGGCGUGGGGAGAGAGAUGCCUGGAACAGUCCACAUACGGCUUCUUUAAAUGUGCUCAGUUUGAGCUGCUGCAUCUGGCUCUUAGAUCAUAAACAUUUUUAUUGAUUUAUUUUGGUGGUGCUGAGUCCAGGGCCCCAUGAACGUGAGGCAAGCACCGAGCUACAUCUCCAGCUCUUUUUCUGCUUGAGACAGGGUCUUGAUAAGUUGUCCAGGCUCACCUCAAACUCGACACCCUCCUGCCUCAGCCACCCUCGUGACAAGGAUGAUGUGUGUAUCCCACCACAGUUAGCUAAAACAAUUUUUGAAUGUUCACUGAGAUCAUUAGUUUCCCCAGUUCCUCCGGAAUAUUAAGUAGGACAGGUGUAAUAAUUCUACGAUUAGGACACUGUGCUAUCUUCAACAGUAACGAAUAAGAAACAAAAAUAUCAAUGUCUAGGAGUGUCACCCAUUUUACAUUCUUAACAUUAAACUCCACAUAUAUCUUCAUGGAGACAUUAACCUAAAUGUUCUUAAAGUAAGUCGGCAUUAGAAAGAAUUUAGCCUACUUAAAUAAUCCUAGAGCUAAUUUCUUCUGUUUCAUAGGUAUUCACAGGGUGGAAUAGAUUAUUAUAAGAAGAAAGUUAGGGAAUUCACAUUGGUAUGAAACUUCUCAGUUACUAAUGAGCGAUACAGAAGGUGCCAGUAAGCACAUUUUAUUAAGUAUCUGGCGUUUCAUUGUUCCCCUCUCCUGUUAAAGUGUUUUUGCCAUAUACUCUGCUGGGAGGAGUGUAAAAUGGUACAGCUGCUCUGGAAAGCAGGCCGGCAGUUCCUUAAACAGAUAAAUAUAGUUACCACGUGACCCAGCAACUCUGCUUCUAGGUAUACAUCCAAGGGGAUGAAGUGAGCGUGCGCCAGAAGCCUGUGUACGAACGUUCAGAGCACACGCUUCCCACCGCCCAGUGGUGGCAGCAGUACAAAUCUCCCCCGCCUGGUGAGUGGAUAGGCAAAUGUGGUCUUUCCCUGCAAGAAGAAUGAUUCAGAAAGAAAGGAUUGUGGUCCUGACAUGCACUACAGUACCAAUGAACCCUGAAAAUACUGUUCCAAAUUAAAAAUGCCAGUCACCAAAGACCACGUGUGGUGUGAUCCUACUUGUGAAAUGUCUAAAAAGGUCAGGGAGAGAAGGUCGAUUGGCAGCGUCUUGGGAUGGGAUGCCAGGUAGGUCAUUGCUAAGGGAGAAGGUUUCUUUCUGGAGCCAUGAAAGCCUCCUAAAUUGAGGAUGUUUGGGGCCGCAUGGCUUGUGAAUAUACUUUUUCAAAACUACUCAAUUGUAUAUUUUAGGUGUUUUGUGAUAUAUGAAUAAUAGUUCAAUAAAACUUAUUAAAAUGUUUUCCUUUCAGAACUGGUUUAUAAGACUACUUGCCAAAAAUCUUGGAAUAUCUUCAGUGAAAAGGGCUAUAAAAUAAGAUGGAGUUCACAUAGUAUUAAAUAGUAAAGUUCAAAAAAUCAGUAAAGAAUACAAAGUCAGAAACAUUUUCAAAAUCAGAAAAGAAAGCCACCAUUUCUCAGCUUAAGAAAUACAUAUUUUUGGUAAGUACUCAAACCAAAGGAGCGUUUUAUCGGUUUUGAAUCAGCUCCAUGGUGUAUCCGCAUUCCUGUUCAGUAACAUAUAGACAAGUAACACAUUUAUAUUUCUGAUGUGUGGAAAGUUACUGUUCAUGCCACUCACAGCACUGGAGUGACCAAGGUAUUUCCAGAAGAACUUCACUUUUUCUUGUAGGCAGCUUUUAAACUUAACUAAAAUGAUGCAUGGGAGAACAAGCUGGGUUACAUAGCAGCAGAUCUGGUUAUAAAACUAGCUGUGACUUCUAUGGAUCACGCCUCAGUUUCUUCUGCAAAAUAAUGGAGACUCCUUUCCCCGAAAGGGUUGUUUUGAAGAUCAAAGUAGGCAUCACAUGUGUCCUGGAGGACGUUCUAUAACAAUAAGGCAUUAUAAUAACUUAAUAAUUCUUAGCAACUAAUUCUUAAGAUGAAUACCAUUUAAUAUUUGGUAAUAUGUAUCAUUGUUAUUAAGCACUAGGAGAACAUAAGAUACAAUGCUAGUUGAGAAGAUCAACUAGAUAAAAUUUGUAUCUACUGUCCAUCUAUUUCCAAGACCUUUAAUUCAAAGUUAAAAUAUUUUGAAGAACUGAAUACUUUUCUGUUUUAAAAGAAAUCAUAAGUAUUUUGUAGGCUAUAUAUUUAUCUGUCUACAAGAACAAGUUACAUUCUCCUGAAACUUCUUAGACACUCAUAUUUUAUAAGUACUUUUCUAUGCAUCAAAAAAUCUGUUUUACUUAAUAGGAGUGAGCAGGCACAUUUAUAUAGCUAUAAAUUUGUAACCGAAUCUAUAUCUGACUCUUUUAUGUUCACUAAGUUCUAUGAAAAUAAAAAACAUUAUCCUGUAAGUCUUCAAUAAGUAAUACCUUCAAUAAAUAAUAAUACUUCAAUAAUAAUAAUG
rnacentral:lncRNA from 1 species